GUCAGCAGCCGCGGUAACACCGGCGGCCCGAGUGGUGAUCGUGAUUAUUGGGUCUAAAGGGUCCGUAGCCGGUUUGGUCAGUCCUCCGGGAAAUCUGAUAGCUCAACUAUUAGGCUUUCGGGGGGAUACUGCCAGACUUGGAACCGGGAGAGGUAAGAGGUACUACAGGGGUAGGAGUGAAAUCUUGUAAUCCCUGUGGGACCACCUGUGGCGAAGGCGUCUUACCAGAACGGGUUCGACGGUGAGGGACGAAAGCUGGGGGCACGAACCGGAUUAGAUACCCGGGUAGUCCCAGCCGUAAACGAUGCUCGCUAGGUGUCAGGCAUGGCGCGACCGUGUCUGGUGCCGCAGGGAAGCCGUGAAGCGAGCCACCUGGGAAGUACGGCCGCAAGGCUGAAACUUAAAGGAAUUGGCGGGGGAGCACAACAACGGGUGGAGCCCUGCGGUUUAAUUGGACUCAACGCCGGACAACUCACCGGGGGCGACAGCAAUAUGUAGGCCAAGCUGAAGACUUUGCCUGAAUCGCUGAGGAGUGGUGCAUGG
rnacentral:rRNA from 1 species